UUUUUUUUUUUAACAGAACUAAAAUGCUUUCAAUGCCAGAGGAGCUACUUUAUAUUGCAUACAGGUCAAGAGUCUGAAUAAACAAAUCCUUAUGAAGUGGACUGAAAGAGGGUGACUUUUUUUUACAUAUAAUUAUUUUUAUUUUGCUAUCAACUACAAAUAGGAUAACUAUGUGUUUUUUUGUGUCGAUUUGCAACAUGGUUUACUUAUAAGGUCUGUACUCUGAUCCAAGUCUUUAAUGUGUGUAAUUCAGGAUCGAAUUAGGCAACUUUACUUUAACCACUGGGUUUUUUAACAUUUCAGUUCUUUUCAUUUAUUCAGAUGCAAGUCGUGAGCAAGAAUUGAAGAUGUAAAUGUAAUAACUUCGGGAUAAGAAGGAAUAGAUGACCUGUGGUAUAGAUGUCUCCAUAAACAUUUUAGGACAUCCUGUUCCCAUACCUUAUUUACUUUUUUACUAUUAGGAUUUAUUUGAUAAAGGAGAGAGAUGUAGACGAUAGACCCAUGUGGUCUACUGUGUGGGGCCAGAGAGAUCUGUUGCUCACAUUCUAUGCAAACAUCUAUAUAGUUCCCCAUACUACAGUUUGAAUUAUACGAUCAGGAACCACCAGAAAGUACUCAAUGGUGGGUAACCAUGAUUUUACUCUAACAUCAAAAAAC